rnacentral:rRNA from 1 species
CGCUGGCGGCGUGCCUAACACAUGCAAGUCGAGCGGAGUCAGUAAGAGGAAGUUUUCGAAUGGAAUCUUAUUGAUUUAGCGGCGGACGGGUGAGUAACGCGUGAGCGACCAACCUUGCACAGGGGGAUAACGGACCGAAAGGUUCACUAAUACCGCAUGAGACCACGGUGUUGCAUGACACAGGGGUCAAAGGAGCAAUCCGGUGCAAGACGGGCUCGCGUCCGAUUAGGUAGUUGGAGGGGUAACGGCCCACCAAGCCUAUGAUCGGUAGCCGACCUGAGAGGGUGAUCGGCCACAUUGGAACUGAGAUACGGUCCAAACUCCUACGGGAGGCAGCAGUGGGGAAUAUUGGGCAAAUGGGGGAAACCCUGACCCAGCAACGCCGCGUGAAGGAAGAAGGUUUUCGGAUUGUAAACUUCUGUCCUUGGUGAAGAGAAGAAGACGGUAGCCAAGGAGGAAGCCCCGGCUAACUACGUGCCAGCAGCCGC